GACGAACGCUGGCGGCGUGCUUAACACAUGCAAGUCGAACGGAAAGGCCCCUUUGGGGGUACUCGAGUGGCGAACGGGUGGGUAACACGUGAGUAACCUGCCCUUGACUUCGGGAUAACUUCAUUAAACUGGGGCUAAUACCUGAUAGGAAUCCUUGCUUCAUGGUGGGGGUUGGAAAGCUUUGGCGGUUUUGGAUGGACUCGCGGCUUAUCAGCUUGUUGGUGGGGUAGUGGCUUACCAAGGCUUUGACGGGUAGCCGGCCUGAGAGGGCGACCGGCCACAUUGGGACUGGGAAACGGCCCAGAAUCCUACGGGAGGCAGCAGGGGGGAAUAUUGCACAAUGGGCGGAAGCCUGAUGCAGCAACGCCGCGGGCGGGAUGACGGCCUUCGGGUUGUAAACCGCUUUCAGCAGGGGAGAAGCUUGUGGUGACGGUACCUGCAGAAGAAGCACCGGCUAACUACGUG
rnacentral:rRNA from 1 species